rnacentral:rRNA from 1 species
AUGAACGCUAGCUACCGGCUUAACACAUGCAGGUCGAGGGGAAACGACAUCGAAAGCUUGCUUUUGAUGGGCGUCGACCGGCGCACGGGUGAGUAACGCGUAUCCAACCUGCCCAUCACUUGGGAAUAACCUUGCGAAAGUAAGACUAAUACCCAAUGAUAUCUCUAGAAGACAUCUGAAAGAGAUUAAAGAUUUAUCGGUGAUGGAUGGGGAUGCGUCUGAUUAGCUUGUUGGCGGGGUAACGGCCCACCAAGACAACGAUCAGUAGGGGUUCUGAGAGGAAGGUCCCCCACAUUGGAACUGAGACACGGUCCAAACUCCUACGGGAGGCAGCAGUGAGGAAUAUUGGCCAAUGGGCGAGAGCCUGAACCAGCCAAGUAGCGUGCAGGAAGACGGCCCUAUGGGUUGUAAACUGCUUUUAUAAGGGAAUAAAGUGAGAGUCGUGACUCUUUUUGUAUGUACCUUAUGAAUAAGGACCGGCUAAUUCCGUG